GCCGCCGUAGCUCAGCUUCCGGGAGAGCGCCCGGCUGAAGACCGGGAGGUCGGGGGUUCAAAUCCCCCCGGCGGCA
rnacentral:tRNA from 1 species